GUUUAUUAUUCUCGCUUACUAUUUUCAUUUCAAUUUUCGACGAAUUCAGCACUCGACUUCUUAAAUAGCUUUUUUCGACGAAAACCUUGGCAACAUGUCCAAUACCUUCGAAGAAUAGUCAAGGCGGUGUGGUUGAUUUGAGUUAAAAAAAAAAGUAAAGUAAGAAAGCAAAAAAAGUGGACUUAACAACUUGCUGAAUAUUUACUGACAACCGGACGGAAUUACCGUAAAAAAAAACAUUCGAAAAUAAAUCGAUGAUAGUCCAUUUAAGGCUCAAAGAAAUAGGAUCACUGUCAUCAUCGUCAUCAACAAACCUUAUAAAGGCAAUGGGUUGGAUGUCAACCCAUUUACGAUAUGAAACUUAGAAAAUGCGUUGAUCUUAAAGCUGAAGAAGGAAUACCAACCUAAUAGUUAACUAAGUCGUCUCUGGGCGAGUUGAGUGUGUGUGGAAUAAUAAAUGAAAAGGAGAAAACAAAUUAAAAAGAAUUUUUAACAGUAAAUAAAUAAAUAAUGAUUCCGAGUGA